UACGGAGGGUGCAAGCGUUAUCCGGAUUCACUGGGUUUAAAGGGUGCGUAGGCGGGUAUAUAAGUCAGUGGUGAAAGCUCCGGGCUUAACUUGGAAACUGCCAUUGAUACUGUAUAUCUUGAAUGUCGUUGAGGUAAGCGGAAUGUUACAUGUAGCGGUGAAAUGCUUAGAUAUGUUACAGAACACCAAUUGUGAAGACAGCUUACUAAGCGAUGAUUGACGCUGAGGCACGAAAGCGUGGGGAGCAAACAGG
rnacentral:rRNA from 1 species